rnacentral:tRNA from 1 species
GUCCCUGCAGCGCAAUGGAUAGCGCAUUGGAUGUCUAAUCCAAAGGGCGUGGGUUCAAAUCCCACCUGAGAUG